rnacentral:rRNA from 1 species
UACGUAGGCAGCAAGCGUUGUUCGGAGUUACUGGGCGUAAAGGGUGUGUAGGCGGUUGGAUAAGUGUGGUGUGAAAAUCUCCCGGCUUAACUGGGAGGGUGCGCGUACGAAACUGUCUGACUAGAGUGUGGGAUGGGUAAGUGGAAUUCCUGGUGUAGCGGUGAAAUGCGUAGAUAUCAGGAGGAACACCGGUGGUGUAGACGGCUUACUGGACCAUAACUGACGCUGGAGACACGAAAGCGUGGGUAGCAAACAGG